GGUUCUUGAUCUUCCUUCGUGGGUCCCAUCUCUUCCUUGAUAUUAGUGUCGUGUUCCGAAGGAGGUGAUGUAAAGACUCGAUCUUUUUCUAAAGUUGGUGAUUUUAAGACUCGAUCUUUUUCUAAAGGAGGUGAUUUUAAGACUCGAUCUUUUUCUAAAGGAGGUGAUGUAAAGACUUGAUCUUUUUCUAAAGGAGUUGAUGUAAAGACUUGAUCUUUUUGUAAAGGAGUUGAUGGCACUUCCGUAAUUUGCUCGGAAAUUAA
rnacentral:lncRNA from 1 species